rnacentral:rRNA from 1 species
UACGUAGGGGGCUAGCGUUGUCCGGAUUUACUGGGCGUAAAGGGCGUGCAGGCGGUCUGUUAAGUGCAGGGUGAAAGCUCCCGGCUCAACUGGGAGAGGUCCUUGCAUACUGGCGGACUUGAGGGGGGUAGAGGAAAGUGGAAUUCCCGGUGUAGUGGUGAUAUGCGUAGAUAUCGGGAGGAACACCUGUGGCGAAGGCGGCUUUCUGGGCCCUACCUGACGCUGAGACGCGAAAGCGUGGGGAGCGAACCGG